AUCGGUUUGGAAGUACAGACCUAUUUAUGACAAGCAAGUUUAAAGCAGUUCACCAUUAAGCGUUAUCUUAGAUAUCCCUUCGUUGCGAAUUCCUUCUAAUUAGUUCCCAUAAGUACGUACAAAUUAAAAACAAACCUUAUUCUGCCUUAUGGCAACUCAAAAAAUUUAAAGGAACUCAUAUGUCUAAUAAAAUGACUGGUUUAGUAAAAUGGUUUAAUAACGAUAAAGGCUUCGGUUUUAUCUCUCCGAAAGAUGGCAGCAAAGAUGUGUUUGUUCACUAUUCUGCAAUCCAAGGUACUGAUUUUAAAAGUUUAAAUGAAGGGCAAGAAGUUUCAUUUACCAUUGAAAAUGGUAUGAAAGGCCCAGCAGCUGCAAAUGUAGUGGCUCUCUAAGGCGACAUCUAUUUCAGAUGCCCAUGCUGUAAAGGCUCACAGUAUCGGAGA
rnacentral:sRNA from 1 species